CCCGAGUGGUGGAUAACCUUCCGAAAGGAGGGCUAAUACAGCAUAAGACCACGGGUCCGAAAGGGCUUGAGGUCAAAGCCGGCCUCUGCUUGCAAGCUGGCGCUUGGAGAUGAGCCUGCGGCCCAUCAGCUAGUUGGUAGGGUAAUGGCCUACCAAGGCGAAGACGGGUAGCUGGUCUGAGAGGAUGAUCAGCCACACUGGAACUGAGACACGGUCCAG
rnacentral:rRNA from 1 species